GAUGAACGCUGGCGGCGUGCUUAACACAUGCAAGUCGAACGGAAAGGCCCUGCUUUUGUUGGGUGCUCGAGUGGCGAACGGGUGAGUAACACGUGAGUAACCUGCCCUUGACUUUGGGAUAACUUCAGGAAACUGGGGCUAAUACCGGAUAGGAGCUCCUGCUGCAUGGUGGGGGGUGGAGAGUUUCGGCGGUUGGGGAUGGACUCGGGGCUUAUCAGCUUGUUGGUGGGGUAGUGGCUUACCAAGGCUGUGAGGGGUAGCCGGCCGGAGGGGGUGACGGGCCCCAUUGGGACUGCGAUAGGGCCAAGACUCCAACGGGGGGCAGCGGUGGGGAAUAUUGAACAAUGGGCGGAAGCCUGAUGAAGCACGGCCGGGUGCGGGAUGACGGCUUUCGGGUUGUAAACCGCUUUGGCAUGUGACGAACCGUGUGUGACGGUACUGGGUAAAGAAGCACCGGCUAACUACGUG
rnacentral:rRNA from 1 species